rnacentral:rRNA from 1 species
AACGAACGCUGGCGGCAUGCCUAACACAUGCAAGUCGAACGAGACCUUCGGGUCUAGUGGCGCACGGGUGCGUAACGCGUGGGAACCUGCCCUUAGGUUCGGAAUAACUCCCCGAAAGGGGUGCUAAUACCAGAUAAUGUCUUCGGACCAAAGAUUUAUCGCCUUUGGAUGGGCCCGCGUUGGAUUAGCUUGUUGGUAGGGUAAAAGCCUACCAAGGCGACGAUCCAUAGCUGGUCUGAGAGGAUGAUCAGCCACACUGGGACUGAGACACGGCCCAGACUCCUACGGGAGGCAGCAGUGGGGAAUAUUGGACAAUGGGCGAAAGCCUGAUCCAGCAAUGCCGCGUGAGUGAUGAAGGCCUUAGGGUUGUAAAGCUCUUUUACCCGGGAUGAUAAUGACAGUACCGGGAGAAUAAGCUCCGGCUAACUCCGUG